UACCUUGCAAAAAUUCUGCCUUUGUAACUGUUUGAGUUAUCUUUGUCCAUAUUAUCAUAUUCUCGAUCAUUCUUCUUCGUCUCUUCUGCUCCCUUCUUUUCUUUCACCUAACAAUUCUUAACGACGCUAAAUUCAAACUGCGAUUCACAUAUACCUGUACAUUUAAAUUGUAUAUGUCGAUUUAGUAGUAGUACACGAUUUUGGAGUGAUAGUUUUUAGAGCCAAAGGAAAGAAUCAUAGGUUUGGCAGUAGAGCGAGGGAGAACUGAUGAAUGAGAAAGAAGUCCUACUCACUACAAACGGAUACACCACAAGAUUGUCUCUAAAAUUCAUUUGGAUUGUUUGAGCUUGAAGAUGGUGAGAAGCCACAACUCACAUGUCAAUGGAAGGGAAGAAGACAAUGUAGUUGGUUCAUAUAUGCGUUAGUUAUCCAGUUGAAGAACAUGCCCGAAAGUGACUGCCUCUUGCCUAUCUUUCUGUCGGCUCCCAGUUCUCUAUACGUUUUAGAUUCCUAAGUGAACUAGAGAUUCACUUUUAGCUACAGGUUCCUUCAAUAGACUACUUUAGUAAUAUCACUGCAAAAUUGAAGUACCGAAAGCAGCACAUGAAGAGAUCACUAUUGCUGAUUCUUUUUAAAAAAAUGUUAUCCAGACGUCUACUUCAGAUAGUAGGGACUCUAAUAGCAUAAUUCGUGUAUUUGGGAACAGCCGUGGGUUAAUGGAAACAAUUCCAGACAUAUGCAACAAAACAUUGUCCAACACCGGGUGAACUUGUCCUUUGGAUAAUGUGUUCUAUGAUGAUUUAGUGAUUUGGGGUUUGAUUGCACCAAGAAGGAUUUUCGAGGAUUUAGGAACUGAUGGGAUAGUCAAUUGGUUCUUCUUAUUUGGUGCGAUAGCUCCAGUACUUGUGUGGUUAGCAGCCAGGGCUUUCCCUAAACAAGAAUGAAUCAAACUCAUCACCAUGCCAGUUUAAUAGGAGCCACAGGGAUGAUGCAAACUGCCACAGUUGUGAACUACACGACCUGGAUCAUCGUAGGGUUCUUGUCAGGCUUUGUUGUUUAUCGAUAUAGGCCAUAUUGGUGGCAGCGUCAUAACUACGUUAUUUCAGGUGCACUUGAUGCUAGUUUGGCAUUUGUGGCAAUUCUUAUAUAUUUGUUCUUGGGCUUGGAGAAAUAUAAUUGUUAAUUGGUGGUGAAAUGAUCCAUCUUAUGCUUUGUGUCCAAUAGCUAGAGGGAUUUUUAAAGAGGAUUGCCCUGUUGUUUAUUAAAUUGUGUCGUGUUGUGAAUAUGAAGCACCACAAAUACUCCAUAGAAUUCCUCAAUAUUGCUUACCCGAAUGUAUCAUAUUACUGGUUGCUAAAUGGGGAGAGUUAUAACUGUGGCAUUGUUUCAUUUGACUUUGGCAGUGAGGUGUUUUGCAGAGGUUGGAUUGCCAGACCAUCCGUAAACUUUCUACAAUUAGAGGCUAAAACUGAUAAUAUUUGAUCACUCUAUUGCCCUCUUGAUCAUGGUUGACACAUUUGUUUAUGAUUUAAGGUUGUUUUUGCAACCACACUCUCUCGACUGUUCUCGUGUGACAUUAGCACACAGAAGAUGAUGUCAUCUGGCCCGGUGGAGAGACUGCACACAUGGUGGUUGUUCAGUUCAUUUACAAGGAGAGCUCAGUGACAAUCAAAUGACUCUCAAAUUAUGCUUUGAACAAAGGUUGUUAGUAUUUCUGUGUUGUUUCAGUUAUAACUUUACAAUUGCUAUCCAUUGGCUCGAAGAUCACAAUCUUCACUUGCUUGAAUAUUUGAUCGUCUUCUUUGAAUAUUUGAUCGUCUUCUUGUUAAAUCAUUUUGGUACAAUUUGGAAUAUAUACUUUUCAUGUUGGGCCCGUGUAA